UUCACAAUACGUGCCCUAUCUGCCGCCAUGAGCUGCGAAGUGCUUCAUCUUCUUCUUCAUAUUCAAAUUUCCGUCGAGAUUUCUCACAUUUCGACUAUCGAUAUGGAUUUAGGUUUGAAGAUGCUGCAGAAGGUUUGAAUUGGAUUUGGAGCCAGCUUGUUUCGUUCCGACCUGUGCGUGCAAUUGUAGAAUGGGCUGAGAGAUUUUUGUUUGAUUUCCCGGAAAAUCAUGAUCGAGGAGGUGGCCCGUGGUGGCGCUCAUUGUUCAUGUUAUAGUCUGAUAUCAUCUGAUCUCAUGCGUUAAACUUGUUUCAUUCAUAUGGCUGCAACAAGAAGUUGAAGCAGCAGUUGAGGCAGUACGCAAUCUUAGAUUGGAGGAAUGCAAGAUGCAGAUUGUAUAGUUUCGCAAGAAAUUGAAGAAGCAAAACACAGGGAAUACAAAUUUCAAGGCCACUAAAGCUUAGGCAUAACACAUAAUAUUAUAACAGUUGCUGCAUGCCGUACAUAAUUGUAUACACACCAUACACAGUCCACAGCAUACACACACAACAUAUUUACUGUACUGUACUUCUGCUUUUCUUCUUUUCCCAUUUUACUAUCUACUACAAGAUAUAUACAA